AUUAGAUGGCAGAGCCGGUAAUUGCAUAAAGCUUAAGCCUUUACUCCCAGAGGUUCAAACCCUCUUCUUAAUA
rnacentral:tRNA from 1 species